GUGCUCGCUUCGGCAACACAUAUACUAAAACUGGAACAGUACAAAGAAGAUUAGCACGGUCCCUGCACCAAAAUUAAAAAAAACUCCAAAAUGGUAUGGUGCAAUCAU
rnacentral:snRNA from 1 species